AAGCCUAGGGGGGCAGCAGUGAGGAAUAUUGGUCAAUGGGCGCGAGCCUGAACCAGCCAAGUCGCGUGAGGGAUGAAGGUUCUAUGGAUCGUAAACCUCUUUUAUAAGGGAAUAAAGUGUGGGACGUGUCCUAUUUUGUAUGUACCUUAUGAAUAAGGAUCGGCUAACUCCGUGCCAGCAGCCGCGGUAAUACGGAGGAUCCGAGCGUUAUCCGGAUUUAUUGGGUUUAAAGGGUGCGUAGGCGGCCUUUUAAGUCAGCGGUGAAAGUCUGUGGCUCAACCCUCGAAUUGCCGUUGAAACUGGGG
rnacentral:rRNA from 1 species